UGGACAAAGGUGGGAGAAUCACAGAUUUGUGUGCUCUCAUGAUCAUUUCUGUCCCCAUCAACAUCCCUAUCAUCACAUCAGCAUUCACACCAUCACAUGUGUCUGACUGCCUCUCCGUGGAAAAAGAAAGCAGAGUACGAGUCCUCUCAGGGUCCUGAUAAGAAGAGGACCGUCUAUCAGAUGGCUUUAAAUAAACUGGAUGAAAUCUUGGCUGCCGCCCAACACACCAUGACAUCAGACAACCAGGGCCAGAGAGGUCAUGGAGGCAAGAGGGACCGAAGCAAGAGUAUUGUUCCCAAUGUGUCCAAGGAGCAACCAUAUGAUCAGCAGUCAUCACUGGCAAUGGUACAAGCUGGACCUGGUUUUGACUACAACCAAGCUCAUUUUCAACCAGGCCACGGUCCCCAGCAUGCAGUCAUGAUGCGUCAAAAAUCUAUUGGUGUAACAGAGGAGGAAAGGCAGUACCUUCACCCACCUGCUAUGAAGUUAGCUCGCAGCCUGUCUGUGCCUGGACCAGAAGAAAUCCCCCCACCCCCUAACACGUCUGCUCCAGAGCCACCUUUAUCUGCAGGCCCUCAUCCGGGUAGAGGACCUGCCAUGCCAAUCCCCCCUGUAUCUCAACCCCACUACCAGCUCCACUCUCAGCCAGGGCAUCCGUCUCAAGCUGGCUGGGAGAGGGCAGGACCAGGUGUAAUGAACCAGCAGGUCAUGGUUCCCACGCUUCGCAGGCAGUCAGAAGGAGUGUGCAUCAGAGAGCCAGAGGCGCCCAGGAGAGGUGGUGGCAAGAUGGGAGGACUAAGGAGAGGCUACAGCAGUGCUACACCCCCAACAAGUGCUAAGCCUAAGGCCCAACAACAAGCACCCCAGCAUCAACCACCUGUGUCCAACCGGGAUCAGAGUGGAGGAGUUGGCAGAGGGGUGGCAAGGAGGGGAGGUCGGGGAGCUUUGAUGAAACAGUCAAAAGUGGAAGAUGGUCUGAGACAGCAUCGAGGAAAAGGAGGUGCAACCAAAGAGAAGAGCUCUAUCCCCAUCCCCACCAUCAUUGUCAAAGCGCCCUCCACCAGUAGCAGUGGUCGAAGCAGCCAGGGUAGCAGCAUGGAGGCUGAGCCCUCCCAAGAUGUGGAAGACCAAACCUCUGGAGAGGCAACCCCAGACAGCCCUAAUGCCAGCCUGCCCUCACCACUCACCUCUGUGCCACCUCAACCUCCAACAUCGACUUCUUUGCCUUCAUCAACUGUUGCCCCUUCGGUUUCCUCACAGCAAAACCUAGAAAACUUGGAUUAUAGUUCAGCAUUUGGUACAACAUUCGCAGGUGGAGGAGCACGCAGGGAAAGG
ensembl:lncRNA